GCGGCAGGCUUAACACAUGCAAGUCGAACGCUCGUGGCAACACGGGAGUGGCAGACGGGUGAGUAACACGUGGGAACGUACCCUUUGGUUCGGGAUAACCCAGGGAAACUUGGGCUAAUACCGGAUACGCCCUUAUGGGGAAAGGUUUACUGCCGAAGGAUCGGCCCGCGUCCGAUUAGCUAGUUGGUGUCGGUAAUGGCUCACCAAGGCGACGAUCGGUAGCUGGUCUGAGAGGAUGACCAGCCACAUUGGGACUGAGACACGGCCCAAACUCCUACGGGAGGCAGCAGUGGGGAAUAUUGGACAAUGGGCGCAAGCCUGAUCCAGCCAUGCCGCGUGAGUGAUGACGGCCUUAGGGUUGUAAAGCUCUUUCGCACGCGACGAUAAUGACGGUAGCGUGAGAAGAAGCCCCGGCUAACUUCGUGCCAGCAGCCGCGGUAAUACGAAGGGGGCUAGCGUUGUUCGGAUUAACUGGGCGUAAAGGGUGCGUAGGCGGGCGCUUAAGUCAGGGGUGAAAUCCCAAGGCUCAACCUUGGAACUGCCUUUGAUACUGGGUGUCUUGAGUCCGGGAGAGGUGAGUGGAACUGCGAGUGUAGAGGUGAAAUUCGUAGAUAUUCGCAA
rnacentral:rRNA from 1 species